UGGGGGGGGGGGGAAAUAUUCAUAUAUUCGUGUUCUGCUUUAUUAAUUUCUUUUGAAAUCAAUUGUUUUUUUUAUGAUAUGUGAACACGAAUAUAUGAAUAUGUGCCCCCCCCUCCC